rnacentral:rRNA from 1 species
AGCGAACGCUGGCGGCAGGCCUAACACAUGCAAGUCGAACGAACCUUUCGGGGUUAGUGGCGGACGGGUGAGUAACACGUUGGAAAGUGCCUUUAGGUUCGGAAUAACUCAGGGAAAUUUGUGCUAAUACCGAAUGUUCCCUUCGGGGGAAAGAUUUAUCGUCUUUAGAGCGGCCCGCGUCUGAUUAGCUAGUUGGUUGAGGUAAUGGCCCACCAAGGCGACGAUCAGUAGCUGGUCGGAGAGGAUGAUAAGCCGCAUUGGGACUGAGACACGGCCCAAACUGCUACGGGAGGGAGCAGUGGGUAAUCUUGCGCAAUGGGCGAAAGCCUGACGCAGCCAUGCCGCGUGAAUGAUGAAGGUCUUAGGAUUGUAAAAUUCUUUCGCCGGGGACGAUAAUGACGGUACCCGGAGAAGAAGCCCCGGCUAACUUCGUG